UUCUUAUGGCAGAUUAAUGCAUUAGAUUUAGAAUCUAUCAAUUCUAUUAUUUCCCCCUUUUUGAAUU
rnacentral:tRNA from 1 species